CACCACAGCCACAGCAACGCCGGGCCUGCGACCGACACCACAGCUCAGGGCAACGCCAGAUCCUUAACCCGCUGAGCGAGGCCAGGGAUUGGUCAGAUUGGUUUCCCCUGAGCCAUGAGAGGAACUCCGAGGACUGCAUUAUCAUUAUAUUUUAAUUUUUAAAAAAUUUACUGGUGAUGUUUAAGAAUAGGGGGCUGGGAGUUCCGUUGUGGCUCAGCAGUAACGAACCCAAAUAGCAUCCUCGAGGACACAGGUUCGAUCCCUGGGUCUGGCAUUGCUGUGAACUGUGGUGUAGGUCAAAGACUCCACUUGGAUCUGGCGUUGCAUCCUCUUGGUUGCUAGCAGGGUUUGCUACCCACUGAGCCACCGUGGGAACGCCUUCCCUUGCCUUUUAAACUGCUUUGGAGUUUUGUUGUUCUUGUUGUUACUGUGGAAACGGAGACAUGACACGUUGGUGAUACGGACUGAAGUAAAGAGAAUUCUAGAAGGAGGUUUCAUUGACUCCAGCUACGAGUCAAGCUGACUUUACUCUCUGCUGAGCCUGCAGUCCUCAGAAGCCCCCCUGUUCUCCACUGUCUUUGCUUCUGUCACCCCUGCUGCUUCAGGCUUUCCCUUAAAUUGUCCUCUUAAAUAGAGGCUGAGCCCUGCAGCUCUUUCGUUGUAACCCAUUGUUACUGUGUUACUUUAGAGCCCCGGGAUGUGGCUGCCUAGUGUGGGAGAGAGGAAGCAUUCUGCCAUCCUUUAAAGCCCCGGCUUUGACUGCUUUUGCGCUGCAGGGAGCUGACACUCAGAGGUUGUCCUCCAGUCUAGCUCCUCUUAGAGAGGCCCUGAAGUCACGCUGUCUCGCUCCACCCCGACACCCCCCACCCCCUAGCCGGUUGGGGUGCAAUCCCUCCCUUGCUGAGCAGGCUCUGGGGGAAGUCUCAGGAUGGCUGCUUGUCCCCUCUUCCUUCCAGAAACAGGAGCUUUUGGUUUUGCUUGGCUCUCCCUAAUGAGAACCUGGUGCGGUGCUUGGAGGUAAAACCCAUGGCAGCCUGGCCCAUCCAGGGCUGCAGCCCCCAGGAAUGCCUUCCUCCCUCCACCUCCAGAAAUUGUUCCAAUGACCAGUUUAUGGCCUAGAGGAGCUGAUAUUGACUAUGAGUCUGUGUUCAACUAUAAUCCAGUUUCAGGGUAAGUUUGUACAUCUGUGUGUGUGUGUGCGCGCGCGCGCGUGUGUGUGUGUGCGUGUUAAGCACAUGAGUGACCAUUUCCAAGCUCUUUCUAUGUUGGAAUUGAAAACAUCUCAAACAUUUUUAUGGUACCAUUUUGUCAUCUUCAAGGACUUCUGGCUAUAAGGCGCUGUGGUGUCAUUGUACUGUUUUUAUGGUAGUCGUAGGGUUUCUGGUAUACGUCUCCAGGUCACCAUAGUUUCAAGAGUUGUUGUACUAUUUCACGUGGAAACUUCCAAUGCUGUAUAAAGCUAUCAAGGACCGCGUAGACACUGCUCGAGACAGACGUGGGAGGAGGCAGGAUCCUACCUCUGCCCCAGCUGAUGCCCAGUCAGGAAAAUAUGGAUUUUUUUUGGCUUUGGAUUAAUCCCAAAUGCCCACAUUUAUGAUGUUCUGUAUAGUCUGCCUGUUUGAACAUUGAGACAGUUAUGUCUUGCAGUGAUGAAAAACUAGAUACGGUUGACAAAUGCUCAAAAAAAAAAAAAAAAAAGCAAAAAACCUCACAAGGGUGUGUAUCCCAGCCUCAGUGCUAGUAUUGUAGAUUUUAUUUCUACAUGUGUGAUAAACCACACAGUAACUUCUUACUGUUGGUGCUUUAAACAGUCCGUUAUCUUUCAAAGGGAAUAAAAUAAUACAGGAAAUAGCCUUACAUUCGCUCGUAUCUCAUCUUUUCCAGGGCAUUUUUUUACUGUGAAGGCCCACCUUCCGUUUGCAGGAAGGACUUCCUUUCUCACAGUGUCUGCUCACUGUGGGCUUCUGCUCUGAUAAAUUGAGAACUUUCUCUCCUUUGUUUCUGAGAGAGAUUUUCACAGGAUAAAUUAAAGCAUUCUGUGCUCACAGAUGUGUUUUGUCUUUUAAUGUCUUAAAAAUCUUUAAAAAAAAAUUUUUUUUUUUUAAUUUCGUGGCCACACCUAUGGCAUAUGGAACUUUCCAGGCCAGGGAUUGAAUCCGAGCUGCAGCCUUGGCCUCCGCCACAGCUGUGGUAACAACUGGAUCCUUUCAUCCACUGCACGGGGCCAGGGAUGGAACGCUCGCCUCUGAAGCAACCCAAGCCUCUGCAGGAGGAUUCUUAACCCGCUGGGCCCUAGCGGGAACUCCUAAAAAAUCCUUUCUCAUAGACAGCUGGCCUGCAUGUUUCCUGAUGAGAAAUCACUCUCGUGACCUUUAUUGCCAUCACGGCAAAAAAUGAGUUAUCUUCAGCUUCGUUCCUCUGUAUCUAAAAUAUCUUUUUUUAACAAAAGAACUUAUUUAUAAAAACCAAAACAAAUUCACAGAUUUUGAAGUUCAACUUAUGACGACCAAAGGGUAAAUCUUGGGAGCAGGGAUAAAUUAGGAAGAUGGGAUUAACAGAUACAAACUAUUGUAUGUAAAAUAAACAACAAGGUCCGACUGUAUAGCCCAGGGAAAUCUCACUAUUCCAUAAGAACCUAUAGGAAAAAAGAAGGGAUACCUGUACGCAUAAAACUGAUUUAUUUUGCAGGGCACCUGAAACUAACUGUAGGU
rnacentral:lncRNA from 1 species